CACACACACACACACCUACACACACACACACACACCUACACACCUCCUGGCCCACAUCCUUUCUUUGGUUUCAGAUUGCUUAAGAAGAACCCCAUUGCUUGCAAGUUUUGGAUAGUAUAGUUUUUUUUUUUGCUUAUCAUGAGAAAUGAUUUAAGUUUGGGCAGGAGCAGAAGCCCUGGACUUUAUGUUUGGUUUGUUUUUCGAUGAAAGGUGGAAUGCCAAGACUGUGGGGUUUUAAGGAGGCUGCAACUAAAAUGACAGUAUUGUACAUAUUGUUUUUGUCACGAUCUGUUUUCAGUCCAAGUAAAGAAAAGCCUAUUUUGUAACUCUUUUGAAAAAGUGGUCAUUUUUUUUCUUCUUUCGGUGAGACACAUUUCAUAUCAUUCCGCAAGUAGUCCGUUCACAAGUGAGCUUCCAAUGUGCAUGUGCUUUAGUCACAGAUAAACAUAUAGAUUCAUAGACUUUACAUUCAAAUGAAUCCACCCAUAUUAGGAAACCACUAUAAUCAACUGAAGGUGCUGAUCAAAAUUUAAUGAAUGAAUAAAUAAAGUAAAAUAAAAUAAACAAAUUAAAUAAGGCAUGGAAUGGCAAAUCACUAUCAAAUCUCAGGACAUAGCGAUUCAACAGGACUGCUCCCGUCUAUUAACAGGUUAAGGGAACGCCCCACCCGUCUGGUAACAGGUUAAGGGAACGCUGUUGUCCAUCCAGAGGCAGAAGAGCUGCAGCAGACUGCGCACGUCCAACAGCUGCCUGGCGUGGCCACUGCUGACGGAGAAGUGGCAGGCUUGAGGCCUGCUCCUCACCAGGCUUCGCGUGCGCUGGUGCAGUCUCUUCAGGCCUUCACUCAAGGAGUGGUUGGAUGGUAACUGGAUCACUUUGACCGUCUUGCUCAAACAGCACAUCCGGUCCAGGACUGCACAGGUCAGGUUGGAGCCGUCGACAGGGGAGUGAAGACCUCCGAGCUUGGGUUGGCUCUUGGUGGGAGGCAAAAUGUCCUAGGAAGAGAGGGGAAGAGU
ensembl:lncRNA